UACGUAGGGUGCAAGCGUUAAUCGGAAUUACUGGGCGUAAAGCGUGCGCAGGCGGCUUUGCAAGACAGAUGUGAAAUCCCCCGGCUUAACCGGGGAACUGCGUCUGAUACUGGAUGGCUAGAGAUUGGGAGAGGGACGCGGAAUUCCAGGUGUAGCGGUGAAAUGCGUAGAUAUCUGGAGGAACACCGGUGGCGAAGGCGGCGUCCUGGACCAACACUGACACUGAAAAGCGAAAGCCAGGGGAGCAAACGGG
rnacentral:rRNA from 1 species